rnacentral:rRNA from 1 species
GAUGAACGCUGGCGGCGUGCUUAACACAUGCAAGUCGAACGGAAAGGCCCAAGCUUGCUUGGGUACUCGAGUGGCGAACGGGUGAGUAACACGUGGGUGAUCUGCCCUGCACUUCGGGAUAAGCCUGGGAAACUGGGUCUAAUACCGGAUAGGACGAUGGUUUGGAUGCCAUUGUGGAAAGUUUUUUCGGUGUGGGAUGAGCUCGCGGCCUAUCAGCUUGUUGGUGGGGUAAUGGCCUACCAAGGCGUCGACGGGUAGCCGGCCUGAGAGGGUGUACGGCCAGAUUGGGACUGAGAUACGGCCCAGACUCCUACGGGAGGCAGCAGUGGGGAAUAUUGCACAAUGGGAGAAAGCCUGAUGCAGCGACGCCGCGUGGGGGAUGACGGCCUUCGGGUUGUAAACUCCUUUCGCUAGGGACGAAGCGUUUUUGUGACGGUACCUGGAGAAGAAGCACCGGCUAACUACGUG